AGCUGGUGCACCACGGCGUGGGCGCUGCCCUUGUAGGGCACCUGCCCCUCGAUCCCCUCGGGGACCAGCUU
rnacentral:tRNA from 1 species